UAAGUAACCUGCCCCUAAGUAGGGGAUAACUCUAAGAAAUUGGAGCUAAUACCUUAUGUGGUGGUGGAGGUAAGGCUCCAUCAUUAAAGCCUUAGGGCGCUUUAGGGAGGGGCUUGCGUCCGAUUAGCUAGUUGGUAGGGUAACGGCUUACCAAGGCGGUGAUCGGUAGCUGGUUUGAGAGGACGGUCAGCCACACUGGGACUGAGGCACGGCCCAGACUCCUACGGGAGGCAGCAGCAAGGAAUUUUGUGCAAUGGGCGAAAGCCUGACACAGCAACGCCGCGUGAGGGAUGAAGGCCUUCGGGUUGUAAACCUCUUUUCUCAGGGAAGAAUAAUGACGGUACCUGAGGAAUAAGUCUCGGCUAACUACGUGCCAGCAGCCGCGGUAAUACGUAGGAGGCGAGCGUUAUCCGGAUUUAUUGGGCGUAAAGAGGGCGUAGGCGGCUUCUCAAGUUGGGUGUAAAAUCUCCCCGCUUAACGGGGAGAGGUCAUUCAAUACUGUUAAGCUAGAGGGCAGCAGGGGGGGGUGGAAUUCCCGGUGGAGCGGUGAAAUGCGUAGAUAUCGGGAGGAACACCAGUGGCGAAGGCGGCCUCCUGGGCUGUUUCUGACGCUGAGGCCCGAAAGCGUGGGGAGCGAACAGGAUUAGAUACCCUGGUAGUCCACGC
rnacentral:rRNA from 1 species